rnacentral:rRNA from 1 species
GUUGUAUGGUUAAGUGACUAAGCGUACACGGUGGAUGCCUGGGCAGUCAGAGGCGAUGAAGGACGUACUAACUUGCGAUAAGCGCAGAUAAGGCAGUAAGAGCCGUUUGAGUCUGCGAUUUCCGAAUGGGGAAACCCAACUGCAUAAGCAGUUACUGUUAACUGAAUACAUAGGUUAACAGAGCAAACCGGGGGAACUGAAACAUCUAAGUACCCCGAGGAGAAGAAAUCAACCGAGAUUCCGGUAGUAGCGGCGAGCGAACCUGGAUUAGCCCUUAAGCACUCGGUGAAGUAGGUGAACAAGCUGGAAAGCUUGGCGAUACAGGGUGAUAGCCCCGUAACCGACGCUUCAUCGAGCGUGAAAUCGAGUAGGGCGGGACACGUGAUAUCCUGUCUGAAUAUGGGGGGACCAUCCUCCAAGGCUAAAUACUCCUGACUGACCGAUAGUGAACCAGUACCGUGAGGGAAAGGCGAAAAGAACCCCUGUGAGGGGAGUGAAAUAGAACCUGAAACCGUGUACGUACAAGCAGUAGGAGCACCUUCGUGGUGUGACUGCGUACCUUUUGUAUAAUGGGUCAGCGACUUAUAUUCAGUGGCAAGGUUAACCGUAUAGGGGAGCCGUAGCGAAAGCGAGUCUUAACUGGGCGCUCAGUCUCUGGAUAUAGACCCGAAACCGGGUGAUCUAGCCAUGGGCAGGUUGAAGGUUGAGUAACAUCAACUGGAGGACCGAACCGACUAAUGUUGAAAAAUUAGCGGAUGACUUGUGGCUAGGGGUGAAAGGCCAAUCAAACUCGGAGAUAGCUGGUUCUCCCCGAAAGCUAUUUAGGUAGCGCCUCGGACGAAUACUACUGGGGGUAGAGCACUGUUAAGGCUAGGGGGUCAUCCCGACUUACCAACCCUUUGCAAACUCCGAAUACCAGUAAGUACUAUCCGGGAGACACACGGCGGGUGCUAACGUCCGUCGUGGAGAGGGAAACAACCCAGACCGCCAGCUAAGGUCCCAAAGUAUUGCUAAGUGGGAAACGAUGUGGGAAGGCUCAGACAGCUAGGAUGUUGGCUUAGAAGCAGCCAUCAUUUAAAGAAAGCGUAAUAGCUCACUAGUCGAGUCGGCCUGCGCGGAAGAUGUAACGGGGCUAAGCAAUACACCGAAGCUGCGGCAAUAUCUUUUAGAUAUUGGGUAGGGGAGCGUUCUGUAAGCCGUUGAAGGUGAAUCGUAAGGUUUGCUGGAGGUAUCAGAAGUGCGAAUGCUGACAUGAGUAACGACAAAGGGGGUGAAAAACCUCCUCGCCGGAAGACCAAGGGUUCCUGUCCAACGUUAAUCGGGGCAGGGUGAGUCGACCCCUAAGGUGAGGCCGAAAGGCGUAAUCGAUGGGAAACGGGUUAAUAUUCCCGUACUUCUGACUAUUGCGAUGGGGGGACGGAGAAGGCUAGGUGGGCCAGGCGACGGUUGUCCUGGUUCAAGUGCGUAGGCUUGAGAGUUAGGUAAAUCCGGCUCUCUCUAAGGCUGAGACACGACGUCGAGCUGCUACGGCAGUGAAGUCAUUGAUGCCAUGCUUCCAGGAAAAGCCUCUAAGCUUCAGAUAGUCAGGAAUCGUACCCCAAACCGACACAGGUGGUCGGGUAGAGAAUACCAAGGCGCUUGAGAGAACUCGGGUGAAGGAACUAGGCAAAAUGGUACCGUAACUUCGGGAGAAGGUACGCUCUUGAUGGUGAAGUCCCUCGCGGAUGGAGCUGACGAGAGUCGCAGAUACCAGGUGGCUGCAACUGUUUAUUAAAAACACAGCACUGUGCAAAAUCGCAAGAUGACGUAUACGGUGUGACGCCUGCCCGGUGCCGGAAGGUUAAUUGAUGGGGUUAGCGCAAGCGAAGCUCUUGAUCGAAGCCCCGGUAAACGGCGGCCGUAACUAUAACGGUCCUAAGGUAGCGAAAUUCCUUGUCGGGUAAGUUCCGACCUGCACGAAUGGCGUAAUGAUGGCCACGCUGUCUCCACCCGAGACUCAGUGAAAUUGAAAUCGCUGUGAAGAUGCAGUGUACCCGCGGCUAGACGGAAAGACCCCGUGAACCUUUACUACAGCUUGGCACUGAACAUUGAACCUACAUGUGUAGGAUAGGUGGGAGGCUAUGAAGACGUGACGCCAGUUGCGUUGGAGCCGUCCUUGAAAUACCACCCUUGUAUGUUUGAUGUUCUAACUUAGACCC